GGGGGAAACCCUGACGCAGCGACGCCGCGUGGAGGAUGAAGGUCUUCGGAUUGUAAACUCCUUUUGUCGGGGAAGAUAAUGACGGUACCCGGCGAAUAAGCCACGGCUAACUCUGUGCCAGCAGCCGCGGUAAGACAGAGGUGGCAAGCGUUGUUCGGAAUUACUGGGCUUAAAGGGCGCGUAGGCGGUGGAGUAAGUCUGAGGUGGAAGAUUAGGGCUUAACCCUAAAAUUGCCUUGGAAACUGCAUCACUUGAGUCAGCGAGGGGAUGGCGGAAUUCCAGGUGUAGCGGUGAAAUGCGUAGAUAUCUGGAGGAAGGCCGGUGGCGAAGGCGGCCAUCUGGCGCUGAACUGACGCUGAGGCGCGAAAGCGUGGGGAGCAAACAGGAUUAGAUACCCUGGUAGUCCACGCCCUAAACGGUGGGUACUAGGUGUAGGGCUCGUAAGGGUUCUGUGCCGUAGGGAAACCAUUAAGUACCCCGCCUGGG
rnacentral:rRNA from 1 species